UGUGUGUGUGUGUGUGUGUGUGCGCACACUAGAUUUUUGUUCUAUUUACUGCCAGCGUAAUUUUUUUAGGCUGCAAGACACUGCAAAGCUGUCCACAGUGACUGGAUUUUGAACUCUGUGACAAACAAAAUUCAAAACCAUUUCUCUGUGUCUUUGGGGGCUUCCAGAGUCAAAGCUGCCAGCUACGCAGCCUAGUGCCUAAGACGUCAGCCCAGGAGAGACACCUGCCCUGCAGCCCGAAACUGAUAAAACAUGCGGAAAGACCCAAAGGGCACAAAGUCUUUGCCUAGCUCAGUGGGAGCUUUCCAAGCCUAAUAUUUUAAAACUGCUUCACACAAGCGGCGGCUGAGUCCCGAGGGCCUUGCUGUGCGCUACGACAAUUUUCUGAUUGCUGUGACAUGAGUGUGGGACUAUCUUCUGGCACCGGCUGACACGGCCACGGGCAGCUGAAGAAGUGAGUCAUCUUCACGGGUCCAGGCGCACGGAGUGCUUCACAUCACCAGAGCCCUCGGAAUCCUGGAAUUCUUCCUGGCAGCUUAUUUCCAGAACAAAACUACAGAAUGAGGAUAAAAGAUGUACCCCUUGACAAUCUGACCACACUUCCCGAAGGAGGAUGUUUCGGAGGCACAAAACCCCCAUGCAGCCUUUGCGUGCGGCCACAUGACAUCUUCCCUGACAGGGAUCAGACGUUCAUUUAGGGUGUGGAGAUUCACUAGUACAACGGCAUUCUCGGUGACAAGGAAACUGGAUUUCAAUUUCUUACAUAGUUUAUGAAUUUUAAGAAAUUCGUUUGCUGAAUAGGUGAGGGUAAAAAUACACGCUGUAAAUGAGUAAAAUAAAAUAAGUGUCCUUGCGGUGCUGGGAUACUCACCCAAUUUUCUAAGAGCGGCAUCUGUUAGGAUCAGACCGGCAGGGAGUCUGGUUUAAAGAAAAGGGCACUAAAUGAAGAGCCAAAAUAACAGGAUUCUAGACUCAGUGCUGCUACUAAGAGCAACUAGGGAUUUUUUUGUAGGUGUGUGUUUUCACUAGGACAUAAAGAAAGCGAGUGUCUGAAAGUAGAAAUAGUGGCCCUGGUAACGGGCCUGCCUUGGGCUCCUGGUCUCUGUCCGCAGAGCUCAGAGGAGCCUCUGCCCAGCCCCACGGCAUCACCAUGAGCCCAGCACCACUCAGCUCUCUCUGCCAGCCAGCUUCCUCAGCCCCUGCAAGGCACCCAGGAUGGGGGCGGGGAGCAAGACAACCGGUUGGAGUCCCCGUGUUCCCCGAGGGCCUGAUGCCAAGGCCCAGCUCCGCCUCUGGAGCUCCAGCCACAAACCUUGCCCCAUGACCUCUGCCAGAUGGCUUUGAAGGUGAUCCAACAGUCCCUUUAUCUGUACAUACUGAGGGGGUGGGGACAGCUGGCAGGCCUGGCGCUGCCUCUCUGCACUGAGCACAGCCUGAGCGCCCCAGCCCUGUAAACACUGGAUCAAUGAAUGCAUAGAAACUUCCCUAAGAAAUGACAAAGAAAAGAUGGGGAAGGUUACCCGCUAACAGGUUUGUUGAGCAAACUACAAAAAUGUAUUACUUACAUUUGACAUGUUCUAAUUCAUUCCUGUUAUAUUGUUAGGAUACAUUUUGCUAUUAAGAAUAAAACUGUAGGCUAAAAUUUUGAAAUGGAAAAGAUAAUCUCUUUAAUUGGCUAGCCUUCUGGAAGAUCUCUAGGAUAAUCCCAACACCCUGAUAAAAGUAUACAGUAUAGCAACUAAGUCAUAACACCCCAAAACACAGUAACGGGGAAACAAAGAAUUUUUCAUGAAAGAAGCAAGAAUAUGGUUAUA